GGGGCUGAUUAAGCUUUCGACGAAGGGAUUUUAACAGGUCAUUUUGCAAGUCGAAUGUACGCGUUAAGUACGUUUUUUAAUUCCAGCAUUACUUGGAAAAGCAAAAAACCUUGUGGCUCAGAUUGCAUCAGCAUUUCAACCACAGGUUCUUGCAACAGCUCGAGUCUAACUUGGGCCAUCGUUUCAGCCAGUCGACAUAGAGUUGGCACGGUGUUAUAAGUAUGUCGAUUACUAGUUAGGUGGGCAGCAACACCUGACCAGGACAGUUUAUUGCGCGACGAAGUAGUGUUUUUGUUUGUCUUCCAGCUAUUCAGUCGUAAAAAAUCAAGUCAGAACAAACUUGUAGAGGAAUGAUCAAGUUACCUUUCGGACCGGGGUGCGAUUCCCCGCAGCUCCACCA
rnacentral:tmRNA from 1 species